UGCCAGACUCCUACGGGAGGCAGCAGUGGGGGAUAUUGCACAAUGGGGGCAACCCUGAUGCAGCGACGCCGCGUGAGCGAUGGAGUACUUCGGUAUGUAAAGCUCUGUCAGCAGGGAAGAGAAUGACGGUACCUGACCAAGAAGCCCCGGCUAAAUACGUGCCAGCAGCCGCGGUAAUACGUAGGGGGCAAGCGUUAUCCGGAUUUACUGGGUGUAAAGGGAGCGUAGACGGCGAUGCAAGUCUGAAGUGAAAGGCGGGGGCCCAACCCCCGGACUGCUUUGGACUCUGUAUGGCUGGAGUGCAGGAGAGGUAAGUGGAAUUCCUGGUGUAGCGGUGAAAUGCGUAGAUAUUAGGAGGAACACCAGUGGCGAAGGCGACUUUCUGGACUGUACCUGACGCUGAGGCGCGAAAGCGUGGGUAGCGAACGGGAUUAGAUACCCGCGUAA
rnacentral:rRNA from 1 species